rnacentral:rRNA from 1 species
UACGUAGGGGGCAAGCGUGGUCCGGAUUUACUGGGCGUAAAGAGCGUGUAGGCGGCCAGGCAGGUCUGUUGUGAAAACUGGAGGCUCAACUUCCAGACGUCGACAGAAACCGCUUGGCUAGAGUCCGGAAGAGGAGAGUGGAAUUCCUGGUGUAGCGGUGAAAUGCGCAGAUAUCAGGAAGAACACCGAUGGCGAAGGCAGCUCUCUGGGACGGUACUGACGCUGAGACGCGAAAGCGUGGGGAGCGAACAGG